AUGUUUCUAACACAGGGGGAGGACGUUAGCAUGAAGAAAAGGGGGGAAGUCAGGGUCUGUGCAAGGCGAUGGUGUGCUCCUCCUUCCUACCAUCCACACGCCGACCCUACAGGGCAUGCAUGCAUCCUUCGGCCCGGGAAUAGGCACCGGCCAGGAGCCGGUGGGGCGGGGGGGGAACAGGAGGGGGGUGGAGGUCUACAGUGCUGCAGGGGAACAGUCUCUGGGGAGCCCCGGGCGGCCCGAGGGAGGCCCGACUGCGAUGUCCAGGGUGGAUGCGGAUGCUCAGCUGCCGCGGCCUCAUUCACCCUUUUGAAAAGGCAGGCAACGGAGAAGCACUCCAUUCUGUCCCCACACACGCGUGCAAAGGCAGCUCCUGGGUGCCCCCCUCAAGAAAUCCUUAUUUUAAAAACAAAAGACAGGCUUGUGGCCAUUCUCAGAGGCGGCCCCUUGACACCCAGGUCUGGAAAGCAGAUUUGCAGAGGCCAAAGAUUAGACAAAAGGCAUGAGCUGGCGACAGACAGACCCAGCGAUGAUUUUUUUUUUUUUUUUUUAAAGUGCUCAAGGCCUCCCAGUUCUAAUUCCAUCUCCCCCUUCUCGGGGACGAUUCCUGGGGGCGCCGAGCAAAUCCCUGGAGGCCUGGAGAGGACGUCGGACAGGGAGGGACAGGAGACCCCGAAACUUUCCCAAACUGCGGCAGGCUGGCGGCGGGCAGCGGCCGCGGACCUCGGGCUCCGGGCUGCGGGCUGCGGGCUGCGGGCUCCGGGGGGCACCCCGGAGGCGGCGGCCACCCCUCCCUCCAGCGCCGCCGCCAAAGGGCCGAAUUCGGCCCCCGCCCUGCCCCGGGUCUCCAGGACCGCGGCCCCGAGGGCGCAGCGGGCGGCGGCGGCGGCGACCCCGGGGCAGCCCCCGGUCGCCCCAGGGCGAGGGCGAGGGCGAGGGCGAGGGCGAGGGCGAGGGCGAGGGCGAGGACGGAGCCUCGCGCCCGGGUCGCGGCCGAAGGGCAAGGCCCCCCCGGGCGGCUGCAGGCGGGGCCGCGCGCUCAAA
rnacentral:lncRNA from 12 species